rnacentral:rRNA from 1 species
GUAUGCCUACGGGGCGCAGCAGUGGGGAAUAUUGCACAAUGGGGGAAACCCUGAUGCAGCAACGCCGCGUGAGUGAAGAAGUAUUUCGGUAUGUAAAGCUCUAUCAGCAGGGAAGAAGAAAGACGGUACCUGACUAAGAAGCCCCGGCUAACUACGUGCCAGCAGCCGCGGUAAUACGUAGGAGGCAAGCGUUAUCCGGAUUUACUGGGUGUAAAGGGAGCGUAGACGGUCCUGCAAGCCAGAUGUGAAAGCCCGGGGCUCAACCCCGGGACUGCAUUUGGAACUGUAAGGCUAGAGUGUCGGAG